rnacentral:rRNA from 1 species
CAGUAGCCACGGUAAUACGUAGGGUGCAAGCGUUAAUCGGAAUUACUGGGCGUAAAGCGUGCGCAGGCGGUUUGUUAAGACAGAUGUGAAAUCCCCGGGCUCAACCUGGGAACUGCAUUUGUGACUGGCAGGCUAGAGUAUGGCAGAGGGGGGUGGAAUUCCGCGUGUAGCAGUGAAAUGCGUAGAUAUGCGGAGGAACACCGAUGGCGAAGGCAGCCCCCUGGGCCAAUACUGACGCUCAUGCACGAAAGCGUGGGGAGCAAACAGGAUUAGAUACCCGCGUAGUCCCUGUCUCUUAUAC